rnacentral:rRNA from 1 species
ACGCUCGACACCUACGGGNGGCAGCAGUGGGGAAUAUUGCACAAUGGGGGAAACCCUGAUGCAGCGACGCCGCGUGGAGGAAGAAGGUCUUCGGAUUGUAAACUCCUGUUGUUGGGGAAAAAGAGGAUGGUACCCAACAAGGAAGUGACGGCUAACUACGUGUCAGCAGCCGCGGUAAUCUGAGCGGGCUGGCAAGGC